rnacentral:rRNA from 1 species
GACGAACGCUGGCGGCGUGCUUAACACAUGCAAGUCGAACGGAAAGGCCCUGCUUUUGUGGGGUGCUCGAGUGGCGAACGGGUGAGUAACACGUGAGUAACCUGCCCUUGACUUUGGGAUAACUUCAGGAAACUGGGGCUAAUACCGGAUAGGAGCUCCUGCUGCAUGGUGGGGGUUGGAAAGUUUCGGCGGUUGGGGAUGGACUCGCGGCUUAUCAGCUUGUUGGUGGGGUAGUGGCUUACCAAGGCUUUGACGGGUAGCCGGCCUGAGAGGGUGACCGGCCCCAUGGGGACUGGGAUACGGCCCAGACCCCUACGGGGGGCAGGAGGGGGGAAUUUUGCACAAUGGGCGGAGGCCGGAUGCAGAAACGCCGGGUGGGGGAUGACGGCCUUCGGGUUGUAAACCGCUUUCGCCUGUGACGAAGCGUGGGUGACGGUAAUGGGUAAAGAAGCACCGGCUAACUACGG